rnacentral:rRNA from 1 species
CAGGUUUACCUGUGUGACUGCGUACCUUUUGUAUAAUGGGUCAGCGACUUAUAUUCUGUAGCAAGGUUAACCGAAUAGGGGAGCCGGAGGGAAACCGAGUCUUAAUUGGGCGUUAAGUUGCAGGGUAUAGACCCGAAACCCGGUGAUCUAGCCAUGGGCAGGUUGAAGGUUGGGUAACACUAACUGGAGGACCGAACCGACUAAUGUUGAAAAAUUAGCGGAUGACCUGUGGCUGGGGGUGAAAGGCCAAUCAAACCGGGAGAUAGCUGGUUCUCCCCGAAAGCUAUUUAGGUAGCGCCUCGUGAAUUCAUCUCCGGGGGUAGAGCACUGUUUCGGCUAGGGGGCCAUCCCGGCUUACCAACCCGAUGCAAACUGCGAAUACCGGAGAAUGUUAUCACGGGAGACACACGGCGGGUGCUAACGUCCGUCGUGAAGAGGGAAACAACCCAGACCGCCAGCUAAGGUCCCAAAGUCAUGGUUAAGUGGGAAACGAUGUGGGAAGGCCCAGACAGCCAGGAUGUUGGCUUAGAAGCAGCCAUCAUUUAAAGAAAGCGUAAUAGCUCACUGGUCGAGUCGGCCUGCGCGGAAGAUGUAACGGGGCUAAACCAUGCACCGAAGCUGCGGCAGCGACGCUGAUGCGUUGUUGGGUAGGGGAGCGUUCUGUAAGCCUGUGAAGGUGGCCUGUGAGGGUUGCUGGAGGUAUCAGAAGUGCGAAUGCUGACAUAAGUAACGAUAAAGCGGGUGAAAAGCCCGCUCGCCGGAAGACCAAGGGUUCCUGUCCAACGUUAAUCGGGGCAGGGUGAGUCGACCCCUAAGGCGAGGCCGAAAGGCGUAGUCGAUGGGAAACGGGUUAAUAUUCCCGUACUUGGUGUUACUGCGAAGGGGGGACGGAGAAGGCUAUGUUGGCCGGGCGACGGUUGUCCCGGUUUAAGCGUGUAGGUGUGUGUUCCAGGUAAAUCCGGUUCACUUUAACACUGAGGCGUGAUGACGAGGCACUACGGUGCUGAAGCAACAAAUGCCCUGCUUCCAGGAAAAGCCUCUAAGCAUCAGGUAACAUCAAAUCGUACCCCAAACCGACACAGGUGGUCAGGUAGAGAAUACCAAGGCGCUUGAGAGAACUCGGGUGAAGGAACUAGGCAAAAUGGUGCCGUAACUUCGGGAGAAGGCACGCUGACAC